AGUGAACGCUGGCGGUAGGCCUAACACAUGCAAGUCGAACGGCAGCACAGUAAGAGCUUGCUCUUACGGGUGGCGAGUGGCGGACGGGUGAGGAAUACAUCGGAAUCUACUUUUUCGUGGGGGAUAACGUAGGGAAACUUACGCUAAUACCGCAUACGACCUAUGGGUGAAAGCAGGGGAUCUUCGGACCUUGCGCGAUUGAAUGAGCCGAUGUCGGAUUAGCUAGUUGGCGGGGUAAAGGCCCACCAAGGCGACGAUCCGUAGCUGGUCUGAGAGGAUGAUAAGCCACACUGGAACUGAGACACGGUCCAGACUCCUACGGGAGGCAGCAGUGGGGAAUAUUGGACAAUGGGCGCAAGCCUGAUCCAGCCAUACCGCGUGGGUGAAGAAGGCCUUCGGGUUGUAAAGCCCUUUUGUUGGGAAAGAAAAGCAGCAGGUUAAUACCCCGCUGUUCUGACGGUACCCAAAGAAUAAGCACCGGCUAACUUCGUG
rnacentral:rRNA from 1 species